AACGCACAUUGCGCCCCCUGGCAUUCCGGGGGGCAUGCCUGUCCGAGCGUCAUUUCUGCCCUCAAGCACGGCUUGUGUGUUGGGUGUGGUCCCCCCGGGGACCUACCUGAAAGGCAGUGGCGACGCCCGCCUAGGUCCUCGAGCGUAUGGGGCUUUGUCACCCGCUCGGGAAGGAUCUACGGGUGUUGGUCUUCCAUAUUUUUUCCACGGUUGACCUCGGAUCAGGUAGGAGUUACCCGCUGAACUUAA
rnacentral:misc_RNA from 1 species